GACGAACGCUGGCGGCGUGCCUAAUACAUGCAAGUUGAGCGCUGACGGUUGGUGCUUUUGCCCACUGGGUGAGCAGCGAACGGGUGAGUAACGCGUGGGUAAUCUGCCUUUUAGCGGGGGACAACAUUUGGAAACGAAUGCUAAUACCGCAUAAUACCUUUAAACACAAGAUUUAAGUGUGAAAGAUGCAAUUGCCUCACUCAAAGAUGAUCCCGAGGUGUAUUAGCUAGUUGGUGAGGGAAAGGCUCACCAAGGCGAAGAUACAUAGCCGGGCUGAGAGGGAGGACGGCCCACAUUGGAAUGAGACACGGCCCAAAAUCCUAAGGGAGGCCGCAGGAGGGGAUCUUUGGACAUGGACGAAAGGCUGAACGAGCAAAGCCGCGGGAGUGAAGAAGGGUGUCGGAUCGUAAAACUCUGUUGGUAGGGAAGAACGAGGGUGAGAGUGGAAAGCUCAUGAAGUGACGGUAACUAAACAGAAAGGGACGGCUAACUACGUG
rnacentral:rRNA from 1 species